AGAGUUCGAUUCUGGCUCAGGAUGAACGCUGGCGGCAGGCUUAAUACAUGCAAGUCGAACGGUAAGGUCCGAAGUGGCAACACGGAGGAUACACGAGUGGCGCACGGGUGCGUAACGCGUAUGCAACCUGCCCCCGACCGGGACAAAACAGCUGGAAACGGCUGCUAAUAUCCCAUGGUCAUGCGGAAGGGCAUCCUUCUUCAUGUAAAGAUUCAUUGGUCGGGGAUGGGCAUGCGUAUUAUUAGGUAGUUGGCGGGUAACGGCCCACCAAGCCGACGAUGAUUAGGGGUCCUGAGAGGGUUAACCCCCACACUGGAACUGAGACACGGUCCAGACUCCUACGGGAGGCAGCAGUAGGGAAUAUUGGGCAAUGGGAGCAAUCCUGACCCAGCCAUGCCGCGUGAAGGAAGACGGCCCUAUGGGUUGUAAACUUCUUUGCCGCAGAGUAAACCCGGUCACGAGUGGUCGGUUGAGAGUAUGCGGCGAAUAAGUAUCGGCUAACUCCGUGCCAGCCGCUGC
rnacentral:rRNA from 1 species